UAAAUAGCCCGUAUUGCUUUGGCAGUACGCCGGCUUCUUAGAGGGACUAUCGGCUCAAGCCGAUGGAAGUUUGAGGCAAUAACAGGUCUGUGAUGCCCUUAGAUGUUCUGGGCUGCACGGUA
rnacentral:rRNA from 1 species